AUUGAACGCUGGCGGCAGGCCUAACACAUGAAAGUCGAACGAGUGGCGGACGGGUGAGUAAUGUCUGGGAAACUGCCCGAUGGAGGGGGAUAACUACUGGAAACGGUAGCUAAUACCGCAUACCAUCGGAUGUGCCCAGAUGGGAUUAGGUUGUAGGUGAGGUAACGGCUCACCUAGGCGACGAUCCCUAGCUGGUCUGAGAGGAUGACCAGCCACACUGGAACUGAGACACGGUCCAGACUCCUACGGGAGGCAGCAGUGGGGAAAAUUGCACAAUGGGCGAAAGCCUGACGGAGCAACGCCGCGUGAGUGAUGAAGGUCUUCGGAUCGUAAAGUACUUUCAGCGGGGAGGCGUUACCCGCAGAAGAAGCACCGGCUAACUCCGUGCCAGCAGCCGCGGUAAUAC
rnacentral:rRNA from 1 species